rnacentral:lncRNA from 1 species
AUGGAAAGGGUUUCAUCUUUCUGAACAUUCACCACACUGAUUCUGCCUAGUAAUUGUCUAAGAUACAGAUGAAAAUUGAUCACUAAUGAAGACCGUUAACUCAAAACCUGGCCAUAUCUCGUAUAACAAGGGGUAUGUCUGAGCUCUUCUGCUCAACCUCCUGCCAGCUCUGUAUUUCCCAGUCUUCAUGAUGGGUAUCAAGAAAAGGGAAAAUAAGAAAGACUUGGCAUUUGAGUUUUGAAGGUUAGAGCUACAUAUUUGAUGAUCAAGAGCUCUCAAACUGCACCUGGAUACUAAUUCUGAAUGGAAACUUACAAUUGUAAGGUGGACAAAUCCUUUUUGUGUGAGGAAGAUGUGGCUGUUGGGAGAGUCAAGUAAUUGAAUGACGUGAAUUUCCUGGAGUUUCCAUAAGUUCCUGUAAAUUUAGCCUCCAACUGAAAUAAACCAACUGGUACUCUUGUGAAAUUCAAAAUUGUGCUAUCAUCAGCUAAGCUGAAUGAAAAGAAAUUACACAUGAAAGUCAUAGGCAGCCCUUUUUAAAAUUGUAUCUUUUAUAGAAACAUCAUUAUAUGGAACAAUUGGAAGAAGCAAAUUUAUUUAAAUGUGCAUUUUUAAGGCAUUUCAACAA